UACAUAGGGUGCGAGCGUUAAUCGGAAUUACUGGGCGUAAAGCGUGCGCAGGCGGUUUUGCAAGCCGGAUGUGAAAUCCCCGGGCUUAACCUGGGAAUGGCAUUUGGGACUGCAAGGCUGGAGUGCGGCAGAGGAGACUGGAAUUCCUGGUGUAGCAGUGAAAUGCGUAGAUAUCAGGAGGAACACCGAUGGCGAAGGCAGGUCUCUGGGCUGACACUGACGCUCAUGCACGAAAGCGUGGGGAGCAAACAGG
rnacentral:rRNA from 1 species